UACGUAGGUGGCAAGCGUUGUCCGGAAUUAUUGGGCGUAAAGCGCGCGCAGGCGGUCCUUUAAGUCUGAUGUGAAAAGCCCACGGCUCAACCGUGGAGGGUCAUUGGAAAACUGGGGGGACUUGAGUACAGAAGAGAAGAGUGGAAUUCCACGUGUAGCGGUGAAAAUGCGUAGAGAUGUGGAGGAACACCAGUGGCGAAGGCGACUCUUUGGUCUGUAACUGACGCUGAGGCGCGAAAGCGUGGGGAGCAAACAGG
rnacentral:rRNA from 1 species